CGGGGCGUAGCGCAGCUUGGUAGCGCACUUGCAUGGGGUGCAAGAGGUCGCAGGUUCAAACCCUGCCGUCCCGA
rnacentral:tRNA from 1 species